GAUGAACGCUGGCGGCGUGCCUAAUACAUGCAAGUCGAGCGAACAGACGAGGAGCUUGCUCCUCUGACGUUAGCGGCGGACGGGUGAGUAACACGUGGAUAACCUACCUAUAAGACUGGGGUAACUUCGGGAAACCUGAGCUAAUACCGGAUAAUAUAUUGAACCGCAUGGUUCAAUAGUGAAAGACGGUUUUGCUGUCACUUAUAGAUGUAUCCGCGCCGCAUUAGCUAGUUGGUAAGGUAACGGCUUACCAAGGCAACGAUGCGUAGCCGACCUGAGAGGGUGAUCGGCCACACUGGAACUGAGACACGGUCCAGACUCCUACGGGAGGCAGCAGUAGGGAAUCUUCCGCAAUGGGCGAAAGCUUGACGGAGCAACGCCGCGUGAGUGAUGAAGGUCUUCGGAUCGUAAAACUCUGUUAGUAGGGAAGAACAAAUGUGUAAGUAACUAUGCACGUCUUGACGGUACCUAAUCAGAAAGCCACGGCUAACUACGUG
rnacentral:rRNA from 1 species